rnacentral:rRNA from 1 species
AGAGUUUGAUCCUGGCUCAGAUUGAACGCUGGCGGAAUGCUUUACACAUGCAAGUCGAGCGGCAGCGCGGGGGGCAACCCUGGCGGCGAGCGGCGAACGGGUGAGUAAUAUAUCGGAACGUACCCCGUCGUGGGGGAUAACACAGCGAAAGCUGUGCUAAUACCGCAUACGACCUGAGGGUGAAAGCGGGGGAUCGCAAGACCUCGCGCGAUGGGAGCGGCCGAUAUCGGAUUAGCUUGUUGGUGAGGUAAAGGCUCACCAAGGCGACGAUCCGUAGCUGGUCUGAGAGGACGACCAGCCACACUGGAACUGAGACACGGUCCAGACUCCUACGGGAGGCAGCAGUGGGGAAUUUUGGACAAUGGGGGCAACCCUGAUCCAGCCAUUCCGCGUGAGUGAAGAAGGCCUUCGGGUUGUAAAGCUCUUUCAGCAGGAACGAAACGGUGGCCACUAAUACUGGCUACUAAUGACGGUACCUGAAGAAGAAGCACCGGCUAACUACGUG